ensembl:lncRNA
AGUGGCGGCACUGGCGGCGGCACUUGCGGCGGCACCGCGGGCACCGGUCCGGGGAGCGGAACCAUGAGUGGAUCACAGAACAAUGACAUGAAAAGACAGUUUCUGCUGGAGCGACUGCUGGAUGCAGUGAAACAGUGCCAGAUCCGCUUUGGAGGGAGAAAAGAGAUCGCCUCGGAUUCUGACAGCAGGGUGACCUGUCUGUGUGCCCAGUUUGAGGCCGUCCUGCAGCAUGGCCUGAAGAGGAGUCGAGGAUUAGCCCUCACAGCAGCCGCGAUCAAACAGGCAGCCGGCUUUGCCAGCAAAACCGAAACAGAUCUUUCCUGGCUUAUCACUUCUACACCCUCAAACGUUAAAUAUUAUUUAUCCUCGGAUUCUGUGGUUGACUCUCAUUUCUACACAUCCUGUCUGAAUUCCUGGGGGAGCAUUGCUGUCUCUGCGUGGAUGACUCGAAGUUAGAUCUCCCACAGAUCAUGCCCUGCCUUUCUCUUGGGUCUCUCCGUGUGGGUGUACUGCGAGCUCAUCAAAGUCUCCAAGACUGAACCCCCUACCCCCAGCCCCGUGUUUGUCCUGUGUUCCUUGCUCAGUGAGUGGUUCUGCCAGGUUUCUGGCCAGCCCUUGGGCUUCCUCCCAGCCUCCUCUUCCUUUUUCCCUCACAACUGCUCAGACUUCUAUUUUUCUCUUCCUGUCUUUUUAAAAUUGUCAUAAAAUGUAUAUAACAUAAACAUGACUCUUUUAACCAUUUCUGAGUGUACAUUUCAAAGGCAUUAAGUACAUUCUCAUUGUACAACCAUCACCACCACCCACAUCCAGAACGUUUUUUCUUUUUUUGUCUUUUUGCCUUUUCUUGAGCUGCUCCCGUGGCACAUGGAGGUUCCCAGGCUAGGGGUCUAGUCGGAGCUGUAGCUGCCAGCCUACGCCAGAGCCACCGGAAUGCGGGAUCCGAGCCGCAUCUGCGACCUACACCACAGCUCACGGCAACGCCGGAUCGUUAACCCACUGAGCAAGGCCAGGGAUGGAACCUGCAACCUCAUGGUUCCUAGUCGGAUUCGUUAACCACUGCCACGACGGGAACUCCCAGAACCUUUUUUCAUCUUCCCAAGCAGAGAGCCCAUCUCCGUCAAGUGGUAACUUUCUGUGUGGCCCUCCCGCUGGCCCCUGGCAAGCACCGUUCUGCUUACGUCUCUGUGAAUUUGACUGCUCCAGGUGCUUUAUAUAAGUAGACUCAUACAGUAUUUGUCCUGCUGUGUUUGGCUUAUUUCGUUUGGUGUGAUGUCUUUAAGCUUUGCGCAUUUGUAGCACGUGUCAGAAUUCCCUUCCUUUUAAAGACUGAACAGUUUCCAUUGAUGGAUAGCCCACGCUUUGUUUAUUCACUCCUCUGUCAAUGGACACCUGGCCUGCUUCCGCUCGCUGGCUGUUGGGAGGAAUGUGGCCAUGGACAUGAGGGUACAGAUAAUGUUUGAGUCCCUGCUUUCAGUUCUUUAGGGUAAAUACUUGUAGGUGAAAUUGCAGGAUCUGAGGGUAAUUCUGUGUUUAAUUUUUUUUUUUUUUUGGCUUCACCCUUAGCAUGUGGAAGUUCCUUGGCCAGGGAUCGAACAUGAACCACAGCAGUGAGUUUGCGUGCCCCCCACCAGUUUAGCUAGACGGCCCCUCUCUGAGAGGUCGCCCUGCCCCGCCCCCAUUGUCCUGAGUCCUCCUCUCACCAAACCUCCAUGGGGCACCCCCUGGAGUCUGGGCUCCCUGUCCCGGGGGUCGAGGGCCGGGUCCAUUGCUCACCUUUGUAGCUCCAGUGUAUUGCAAAGAGCCUGGUCACCCACAGACCAAGGACAUUUAGAAGAAUGCCUGGAGCAUCCAGACCUCAGGAUGUGCUGCUUAUUCUCGAGGGAGGCCAGACCCGCCUCCUUCCGUCUGGACGCUUCACGGUUGAGAGCAGGUGGUAUUAAUACUUGCCCAGCUGUGCGAUUAGAGAACCCGCUUCCUUGAUCCUCGGUGGGGAUUUUUGAACGUGGUUGGUGGCAUUUAACUCAAAUCAGAAGUUAUAUUUUGCUUCACCGGGUCAACCUGGGUAACAGUUUCAUCUCUGAAGAAAAUUAAUUGCGGAGGAAGCUGCAUGUGCCAGGAGAGCCCAGGCCCGUCCUUCUGUUGGUGAGGGGAAGUCCACUCCCCGCCGGCCCAUCCCUGUCCUGUUUCAGUUCCCUCUGUGGAACUCAUGCACUUGCAAAUCAGCUCGUUCUGGGGAAAAGACGUUGGUGGGAUGUCUGCGGAAGGGGCCGAGAAAAUGGCCAGGACUGGUGGUCAACAGCUGGUGGGCAAAUGCUGGCCUUGCGGAGGGAGCCAGAACCGCAGUGCUGGCCCCCGCAGGUGAGGGGUUGACCAGAGUUGCUGGAUUUGGGCCAUGUCCACAGGGUCCCGGCGAGGGUCCUUGACAGCUGGGGAGGCAGAGAGCCCUGGGCCAGUGGCCUUUUACCAAGGGGCACAUUAGGAUCUGAUGUAGCUGGACCGACGCCCCUUGGCCAAAGGGGACCGCUGGCUGUUUCAAAGGUGUUUAGUCUUGACAUCCUGUGAGUUAAGACUCGGAUCUGGCCUCAGAGGUGUCAGUUUUGAGUUAUUACCCAGCCUGUUGGUUCCACGGGUCGUUUGCUCUGCUUCUGUCAGCAUGAAAGUGGCUCUUCCGUGGAGGAUGGCUUACAUCCCUAAAAGGAGACAGGACGCAGUGUUAGGGCUGCUGGAGCAGGGUUCCCUUUGCUGAUGAAGGCGGUGCCCUAGACCUGGAUGUCACUUGGGUGAAGGUCGGGUGUGCUGUGCUGAGGGGUUGGAGUUCGGAACUCAGGCUCAGAUGCUCACGGGGCCAGACAGCUGACAGAAAUGAAUGCAUCGGGCCGGCGAGGGGUGCCAGGGAGUCAUGGCACCUCUGGGUCCCCGGGCCCCUGCCAAGCAGACCGGGAUGUGUAAUCCGGCUGCGGGUUCAGGUAGAGGAGGGGAUGAGUUUGGAUGAGCAGCUAGCAGUUACCAUGGUGGAGUUUUCCUCUUCUGUAUGGAGUGGUCAGAGACACCUCUUUUUUUCCUUUCUUUUUUUUUUUUGGGCUGUGCCCACAGCAUGUGAAAGUUAACAAGUCAGGAAUGGAACCCUCACCAUGGCAGUGACCUGAGCUGCUGUGUUGACAAUGCCAGAUCCUUAACCUGCUGUCCCACAAGGGAACUCCCAGAGAUACCUCUCUAUAGGGAUGUUUGAUUGGAGCCCUAAGGAACGGAGGGAGUGAGCCAGGCUGUUAUUGGGAAGGAAUUCUGAAUGGUUCAGCAGGUUCAGAUGUGUGUGACAGUUUUUUGUUUGCUGUCACGUUGGUUUCCUGCCCGUUCCCUGCAUACUGUAUUCGCCGGGUUCCCUGGUCCAUCCCAAGGGUCAGUGGUGAUGAGUUUAGAAGGUGAGGGAGGAGGGAAGCUGGGAUAUUCUUCCUCAGAGUCCUGCCUCAGGGGCAUCUCUGGCAGCGGCCGUGCUUCCUCCGUGGUCCGGGGAGGUCCCACGUGGCUCCUGGUCAGGCCUUCGUCUUGUCCUCCCACAUUGCUCCUGGCUGCUUCUGCCCUGAUCCAGCUGCUGCUCUGUCACCGCCUUUGCCUUGUGUCACCGUGGUUCCCUGGGAUAACUGGUGUCAGAAAGCCCAGCUGUCAUCCCCAGGUGGCCUCAUUAUCUCCUCUGUCUUUCUGGCUUUUCCUGCGUCUCUGUAGCACAUGUCCUGCGUGAAGUGCCUCCAGUGGCCUAGCUGGUCUGGCUUCUGUUUUCCUGGCCCUACAGGCCCUGAGGGGAACAGACUUGGCCUGUUGGGGGAACAGCCUGGAGAAGCAAGGCUGUCAUGGGGGGAGUGACAGGAGCCAGGACCCAGGUGAGGCAGAGAGGUGGUGAGAAGCCUGGUCCUGUGUGGCAGUAAGUGGAGUUUAUCCUCCGCUUCUUGAUGUAUUUUCGUGACCUCCUUUCAUCCCCACCAAGAUAACUGGUGCUUGUUGUGUAGUCAGUAGGGAUGUUGACAUUUAAAUCUGCGGAAGUCUUCAGAAGCCAUCCGGCAUCUCAUCAAGUUCUGAGUUAUACACGUUAAAGUGGUGAAUUUUACAUUAAGUGUGAAUUAUGCUACAAUUAAAAAAACCCUCUGGAAGUGG